rnacentral:rRNA from 1 species
ACCAGGGAAUUACGAGCCCAAGCUUAAAACCCAAAGGACUUGACGGUGUCCCAUCCCCCUAGAGGAGCCUGUUCUAUAAUCGAUUUCCCCCGAUCUACCUCACCGCUUCUCGAACCCCCAGUCUGUAUACCUCCGUCGCAAGCUUACCGUGUGAGCGCACCUAGUAAGCUAAAAGAUUCGUCACCUACACGUCAGGUCAAGGUGCAGCCUAUGGAGCGGAAAGAAAUGGGCUACAAUCUCUACUUUAGAACAAACGGAAAGCUGUAUGAAACACAGCUACUGAAGGCGGAUUUAGUAGUAAAAAGAAAACAGAGUGUUCUUUUUAACCAGGCACUGGGACGCGUACACACCGCCCGUCACCCUCUUCAGACAAAUCAAAAAGUUAUUAACACCACUUAAUCACACAGAAGAGGCAAGUCGUAACAUGGUAAGUGUACUGGAAAGUGCACUUGGAACAAAAUGUAGCUUAACUAAAAGCAUCUUGCUUACACCAAGAAUAUGCCUGCGAAAUCCUAGCCAUCUUGAGCCUAAUCUACAGCCCCUCAUCCCCACAAUGUAAUUUCCCCCCCAAAUAAACUAACUAAAACAUUCUCUUGGUUAAGUAAAGGCGAUUAAAAAACCUCUAGGAG